GGGGUGUGCUCAGAGCAGGGAGCCCGAAGAAAUGGCCCCCCGUUUACAACACACCCAACAGGAAUGUGGGGCCAUUGUCCCGGGGGCACAGAGCCCAUGCCCCUUCUAUGAACAGGUGCCCUACACAU